ensembl:lincRNA
CUCCCUGGACGGGGCAUACCAAUGGGGUGAGGGCGGAGCCACAGGGCACUCACACAGACCUCCCCGCAGUGCGAGGGGCCUCCUGCGCCUGGCCGAUGCCCUGGCCUUCCGUCAGGACCUGGAGGUGGUCAGCUCCACCGUCCGUGCCGUCGUCGCCACCCUGAGGUCUGGGGAGCAGUGCAGUGUGGAGCCUGAGCUGAUCAGCAAAGUCCUCCAGGGGCUGAUGGAGGUGAGGUCCCCUACCUGGAGGAGCUGCUGACUGUGCUCUUCUCUGCCACUGCGGACGCCGCCUCCCCGUUUCCGGGCUGUAAGCCCGUGGUGGUGGUGAGCUCCCUGCUGCUGCAGGAGGAGGAGCCCCUGGCUGCGGGGAAGCCGGAUGCGGAUGGCGGCAGGUGAGCUGGGGUGUGCACACGGCCGGGGCGGGCGGGCAGGCAGCACCAGCUCCUCCCUGAGCCACCUUCUCCCCGCAGCCUGGAGGCCGUGCGGCUGGGGCCCUCGUCAGGCCUCCUGGUGGACUGGCUGGAGAUGCUGGACCCCGAGGUGGUCAGCAGCUGCCCCGACCUGCAGCACAGGCUGCUCUUCUCCCGGAGGAAGGGCAAAGGUCAGGCCCAGGUGCCCUCGUUCCGCCCCUACCUCCUGACCCUCUUCACGCAUCAGUCCAGCUGGCCCACGCUGCACCAGUGCAUCCGAGUCCUGCUGAGCAAGAGCCGGGAGCAGAGGUUCGACCCCUCCGCCUCUCUGGACUUCCUCUGGGCCUGCAUCCACGUUCCUCGCAUCUGGCAGGGGCGAGACCAGCGCACCCCGCAGAAGCGGCGGGAGGAGCUAGUGCUGCGGGUGCAGGGCCCAGAGCUCAUCAGCCUGGUGGAGCUGAUCCUGGCCGAGGCAGAGACGCGGAGCCAGGACGGGGACACGGCCGCCUGCAGCCUCAUCCAGGCCCGGCUGCCCCUGCUGCUCAGCUGCUGCCGUGGGGACGAUGAGAGCGUCAGGAAGGUGACAGAGCACCUGUCAGGCUGCAUCCAGCAGUGGGGAGACAGUGUGCUGGGCAGGCGCUGCCGAGACCUCCUCCUGCAGCUCUAUCUACAGCGGCCAGAGCUGCGGGUGCCCGUGCCUGAGGUCCUGCUGCACAGUGAAGGAGCUACCAGCAGCAGCAUCUGCAAGGUGAGGGCACCACUCUGCUGCUCCUUGUGCCAUCCCAGGUGCCCUGGCCGGGCAGGGAGGGAGGGCGGAGGCUCCAGUUUCUGUGGGCCAUCACCGGCUUCACCUCUUGUCCCUUCCCGGUCCGUGCUGCCGGGUGGCCCCGUGGGUUUGUCUGCACUGAGUCUUAAACCAAGGGGACCUGCAGGCGCUUUGCUCGCGGGGCGCCAUCCAGCAGAGUCUGCAGAGUCGUGGUGUCAUGGGCGCUGAGCGGCCUGCCAUUGUGUGGAUCGACCGUUGGUUUAUCUGUUCACCUGCUGGUGGACGUGGAGUCACGUUCAGUUUGGGGCAGUGACAGCUGCUGGGGACUCGUGCAUGGGUCUUGGUGGACGGCUGCGUCUGCUCCUCUUCAGUGACCCUGGGGGCGGGGCUGGGCCUCUCGUGCCCGCUUCCCCGCCGCUGGCUGGGACCUGCAGCCUGUCUUCUGCUGGUACCACAGAGGGCAGCUGACUUUUUCUAAUCAUUUCUGCUUGUGAUUUUUUUCACUUAUAAGUUGUUUCAUACAUUGAAAUCAUACUUGAUGUGCAGUUUUGCGGGGAGUUUUUGAGGCAGGGUGUCUGUUGCCGAGGCUGGAGUGCGGCGGCACUAUCAUAGCUCACUACAGCCUCAACCUCCCGUGCUCAAGUGAUCCUCCCACCUCAGCCUCCCGAGUAGCUGGGACCACAGGCAUGUGCCACCACACCCAGUUAAUUUUUUUUUUUUUGAGACGGGA